GGGAUUGCCCUAGUAACGGCGAGUGAAGCGGCAACAGCUCAAAUUUGAAAUCUGGCCCUAGGCCCGAGUUGUAAUUUGCAGAGGAUGCUUUUGGCGAAGUGCUUACCGAGUCCCCUGGAAUGGGGCGCCACAGAGGGUGAGAGCCCCGUAUGGUUUGCCACUGAACCUUUGUAAAGCUCCUUCGACGAGUCGAGUAGUUUGGGAAUGCUGCUCUAAAUGGGAGGUAAAUUUCUUCUAAAGCUAAAUACCGGCCAGAGACCGAUAGCGCACAAGUAGAGUGAUCGAAAGAUGAAAAGCACUUUGAAAAGAGGGUUAAAUAGCACGUGAAAUUGUUGAAAGGGAAGCGCUCGUGGCCAGACUUGCGCCGGGCGGAUCAUCCAGCGUUCUCGCUGGUGCACUCCGCCCGGCUCAGGCCAGCAUCGGUUUUCGCCGGGGGACAAAGGCUUCGGGAACGUAGCUCCCUUCGGGGAGUGUUAUAGCCCGUUGCGUAAUACCCCGGCGGGGACCGAGGACCGCGCUUCGGCAAGGAUGCUGGCGUAAUGGUCAUCAGCGACCCGUCUUGAAACACGGACCGAGGAGUCAAGCAUUAGUGCGAGUGUUUGGGUGUAAAACCCGCACGCGUAAUGAAAGUGAACGUAGGUGAGAGCUUCGGCGCAUCAUCGACCGAUCCUGAUGUUUUCGGAUGGAUUUGAGUAGGAGCAUUAACGCUUGGACCCGAAAGAUGGUGAACUAUACUUGAAUAGGGUGAAGCCAGAGGAAACUCUGGUGGAGGCUCGCAGCGGUUCUGACGUGCAAAUCGAUCGUCAAAUUUG
rnacentral:rRNA from 1 species